AGAAGGAGGAAUAUUUGGUCCCUGGUCAGUUUCUGCUUUGGGAACAGAUUGACCCCAAACAUCUGACAUAACCUAUGUAAGUGACAGUGUUGGCUUAGAAUAAAGAAACAAAGACUAUCAUGGCAUUUUUUUUUAUAAAGCAAGUGUUACAGUGACCUGUUUUGGGGACUGCCAGAGGUUAGUUGGCAGUUGCCUUCUAGAUCUAGCCACAGGAGAAAAAAUUAAAGAGCCAUAUGACUGUGAGGCAGAUCCUCAUCAGGGAGGAGGCGCAGUGUCUUUUUAACCACUUUGAAGACCAACAGCCAAGACAUCUUGAGCUAGUUGUAGUGGACAGAGAGUUCCAAACACCUCAGCCACCAGGAAAAGGGAGUGGCCAGGAAGAGGCUGCAGGCUCAAGGGCAGCGAUUCUCCCACCCACUCAAGGAACCUACUGAGCAUCGAACCACUCCAACUUGCCUUGGGAGGAGGACUUGAAUGCUACC
rnacentral:sRNA from 1 species